rnacentral:lncRNA from 1 species
UAAUCAACUCGAAUUUUUUUUCAAAUUUCAAGUUCGAAUCGAGUUGAGUUUUCGAAUUCGAAUAACUCGAAUAAUUCGAAUAUCAAACUAUAAUAUUUUACAUUUUUACCCCAAACUCCCAAACCUUUUUACUUUUCCCUUAAAACUUUUACUCCUUCCCACUUUCCCCCCAAAACUUUUACUCCCCUUCCCUCCCAACACCUCAAUCUACCCAAAAUUCAUUUCCCACCAAAAUUUUACUCUCCCAUUUACUUUUUCUCAAAAUUUUACUCCCAAAAACGCUCAAAACCUUUUAUUUUCCCCCAAAAUUUUACUCCCUCCCACUUUUUCCCUAAAACUUUUAUUCCCUUCCCAUCCCACCUCUCAUCUACCCCAACCCUCCCCCCUUCAAUUUUUUUUUUUAAAUAUUUUCCCUCCAAAAUUUUACUCCCCC